GCGGGAAAAUCUGUAAUGUUUGGAGAAGACAAGAUGGCGCUGGUUACCUCGUGUUAUAUCAAAGGGCAUUUUUGUUCACAAAUACCCGCUUAUUUUACGUUAUAGCGACUGGUUCGUUUUGGAAAUUAUUACUCAAUGGACGGGGAAAAUGAUUCUGUAUUAAAGAGAAAAAGAUGUGCAGUUAUUGUGAUGUUAUUUGUUGUGAAAGACGGCCCGAAAUUUCGCUACUUCGCUGUACUGGUUUAUAAAACAUUUACAAGCAACAGCAAUUGAACUAUAUGACAAAGAAACCAAUGUAUACAAGCCAAUCAAGUUCUUCAGUUUAAAGGUCAGUUUAUUUUUAAUAAUUAGUUCAUGUAGUUAUAUAUUAAUACGAAGUACAGGGCCAUUCCAUUUAAUAUCCACACCCUCCUGUUGACUAGAUUUUCCGAAGGGGGUUUUGAAUUU